rnacentral:rRNA from 1 species
GCAGGCGGUUUUUUAAGUUCUGAAUGUGAAAGCCCCCGGCUUAACCGGGGAGGGUCAUUGGAAACUGGGGAACUUUGAGUGCAGAAGAGGAGAGUGGAAUUUCCACGUGUAGCGGUGAAAUGCGUAGAGAUGUGGAGGAACACCAGUGGCGAAGGCGACUCUCUGGUCUGUAACUGACGCUGAGGAGCGAAAGCGUGGGGAGCGAACAGGAUUAGAUACCCUGGUAGUCCACGCCGUAAACGAUGAGUGCUAAGUGUUAGGGGGUUUCCGCCCCUUAGUGCUGCAGCUAACGCAUUAAGCACUCCGCCUGGGGAGUACGGUCGCAAGACUGAAACUCAAAGGAAUUGACGGGGGCCCGCACAAGCGGUGGAGCAUGUGGUUUAAUUCGAAGCAACGCGAAGAACCUUACCAGGUCUUGACAUCCUCUGACAAUCCUAGAGAUAGGACGUCCCCUUCGGGGGCAGAGUGACAGGUGGUGCAUGGUUGUCGUCAGCUCGUGUCGUGAGAUGUUGGGUUAAGUCCCGCAACGAGCGCAACCCUUGAUCUUAGUUGCCAGCAUUCAGUUGGGCACUCUAAGGUGACUGCCGGUGACAAACCGGAGGAAGGU